CAACGUUUCCCUUUUCAUCUCCCGACCAGCCAGGAUGCCAGCCUCUAGCUCUAGUCCAUUUUUCUCCCUUCAGAUUGCGGGAUGCAUCUCUGGGACAUGAGAUCUGUGGGGAACAUAAAUGGGACAAAACAAGGCUACCCUUGAUGGGUGUUUGCAGAGGGGAAAGGCCAAGGAGAAUGGAGAAGUGCCUAGCGUGGCAGAAACGUGGGAGAGAGAAACAAGACCCAAGAGAAGGAGAGAGAGACGAGAGAAGCAGGAUUUGCUACUAUAGAAAAGGACGGUGAAGACAUUCAGAAGAUAUGUCAAGUAAGACAGGAAAAAGUAGGGAGUUUGAACAAAACUCACAAACAAAACUUCAUACUGUUCAAACUGUUUACAAGAAAUCUGUCAAAGAGGUAGCAUAAAACAGAAAAACAAGCACCAAACUAUCCAGCUACUUGGAGAACUGGUGUGGCAUUUGCUCAAUUUUUGCUGUGCGGGAAGCAAAGCUCCGAAAAAUUUUUGGGAGAAACAAAAGUGUUUGGGACAUCUUUUCUCUCUUCAGGAAUUCACUGUUGCUUCAGCAUUUCACAAGUAGCUCUUCCAGUUACCCGAAAUGUCAUGGAAAAAUGCUUUUUUGCUUUUUAAUUGCUCACUGGAAACUUUUCACACUAUUCAUCACAGAAGUCCUGUCAAAUCUCCCCUCCAAACAAAGCUGCACUCCUUGCAGUUCCCCUAGGAAGGAAAAGUGGUUCGUGUUUGCUGCCAGUGAGUCACGCUGCAGAGAAUUUCUCUAGGUUUGGUCACUUCUCGUCCCUGGAGGAUUUUUCAUCCCUUGGUCUGCAAAGUGGCCUUCCCUGCAGAGGUUCCUCUCAUCACCUGCAUGCUGUGAGCGGCAGAAGGGAACCUCGCACUUAGUGCCCACUCUCAUCCUUGUCCAUCCAAAACUAAAAUCCAGCUCUUUGCACCAGCAGGGGCUCCAGAGAGGUGAAAAGGGGCCAGGGGCUUGGCAGAGGUGGCUGGGCUGCAACCAUCUGCAAGGCAAAUCCUCACCUGGAGAGAAGUGAACUGAGAAGGCACCAGCCAAGCGCAGGAGGGCAGCAGCUGCGGCCGAGGUGCAGGUCAGGAGGCUGGGCUGGUCAGGAGGGUUUUUUUGCAUAGGCACUGUGCCAAAUCAGCAUUUGGGGAAGCUUUUGCUUUUCCAGGAUCAUCUUACUGGGUCGCCCGGCAGACUGAGUGGCGUUCCUGCGCCAUUGCUGCAAGUGAGCUGUAUCUGGAGAUGUUGGACUCCUCUGCUGAGCGCCGAGAGCUCGGCCACACGCCAGGUGGUGGGUACGUGCCACACUUCCUGUGUGUGGGCCGCACUGUUGCUGUGUGGUCGCGCGAUAGCAGGUCCGAUGCUUCCUGGCGGCCCUGCCUAUGCUUAGCAUACGAGCACCAUCUGUGCACAAGAAAUUCACAGCUUUCCAGAAACCUGGGGGGCACCGAGGAGGUGUUACAUAGCACACACGGACAUCUUUCUGCCCAAAAUCUUGUAGGGAUAAACAGGACAACCCUCAGUGUGAGUCUUCCUCCUCCUGCAGAAAGGCUCAGCCAUCCCUGUGGGACAGCCCUGAACACCCCCUCAGCAUGGUCCCCUACUUGCAGUUCCUCUGGUAUAUAGGCUGCUCUCCAACAGGCAGGAUGCAGAGCCUCUUUUCAGCCGAGCUAGUAGGAGCUGUGCUGAUCCUUACUUACCUCAAACUGGUUUUUCAUCUGUUUAUUAUAUUUGCUGGUGCUUUGCCACUCUGUGGGAAUAUUUUUUUUAAUAUGCCCGUAAGGCUGACUGUAGGAGAAGGCACCUAAUGACAAAUAGGCUAUUUCAUUCUGGCCAAUGCCUGCUGCUUUUCAUCAGCAGGUCCAAAGCUCCUUGUAAGGAGUCUGGCACCUCUGUCUCCAGUUCACAUAGAGGGAAAGUGAGGCACGGGAAGGUGGGCAGUGCAAGGUCAGCAGUGAAUCCAGGGAUAGAAACAAUUUCCAUUAGAUUCCUGUCCAGUGUUUUAUAAACACCCCUAGGUGCCCCUAGGUUUAGUAGUUAGGGGUUUAAAGGCCUUUCACAUACGCCAUAUGACUUCAUGUAUGCACUCCCUUUCGUCUCCCCAGCUGCAGAAGCCUCAUGUUGUACCCUCACCCUGACAUCCAUGGCAAAAUAGACCUUAGAGGCUUACCGAGCUACUAGAGCCAGCUGACAGCGAUCCACUUCUUUCUCAAACACAUGUGAUUUCUGAUCAAAAGCCAGCAGCUUGGUUGGCAGGAAAAGACUGAAAAAUAUCAUCGCAAUUAUUGUGGAGGAACUUGAGCUAUAACAUUAUCAGCAAUUUUGUAGAAUGAAACAUAAAAGUGCCAAAAGACUAAGCAAUGCUUUGCAAGCCAUAUGCUUUUUCAGGGAACACUGGACAGUUUUUAAUACGCCGGUUGGAUAGGCAAAUUCCUGUGAUUUUAGUUCAUGGUAUGAAAAGACAGAAACUGCUAGACUGACAUCUAGGGAAAAAAGGAAAAGACAAGGCAUUUCACGUUGGACAUCAGAACCACAGAGGGUCUGAUACUGCUAGGUGAAUGCGGACCAAACUCUUUAAUGGCAAUCUGCCCAUGUGAGGGUUGCAGAAUGUAAGUCAAAUUCCGAAGCAGGAGAAUGAGAUCAAUACAGAGCAGAGUACCAAUUACCAUGCCCAGUUUUCAAGAACAUCCUUCAUUUGUCCUCUAAAAUUUCCUUUGUCUCUGUUACAGCUCAGUCAUUGCCAGCCCUGAUGUAUCCCUGUAAGUGAAGAAGCAGAUUGCAAGUAUGAGGAGGAGCCACACCCUCUACAUUAGAAUUCUGUAUUAAUUCUAUAUAGAAAAACGACUUUUAAAUUUAAAUAUAUAUGAUCCCUUGCAUUUAGAUCAGCGAUUUACUUGAGAAAUAGACGCGAUUUGUUAAGUAAAUGCUCUUUUUUAUUCUCCCCACAGAUUUAUUUGCUUAAAAUACAGUAUGUAUUCUUGUAUAUAUGAUAUGGUCAUGUUAGGAAAAAUAAAAACUGCAGUGAAGAUAGAAACUUCAAAUGCUUAGAUCAGCAUCUUGCACUGAGAGCCAGCUCCAGCAUCUCUCUUUGUUCCCUCUUCCCAAGUGCCCUUGGCAAACGUUUAAAAUAGCAAAGCCUCAGCCUGGAUGUAGAAUUUCAUGAUUUUGUUUGGCUGCCUCCCAUCUCUCAUACCGUUUAGCUGCUUGCGUUUUCAAGGGACGUCUUCACUGCCGAGCUGAGCCCAGGGGUGCAGCCCUUGCCCGCUGCAGGCGAGCUGGUGGGUUGCACUGGCGCUGCUGCCCUGGGCAAGCCCCGAGAUCUUUGCGAGCCGAACCAGGCGGGGAGGCUUCUCCCACUGCCCCAUGGGGAAAAUAGCCUCUCCUUUCAGGCACGAGGCAAUGCAAGGCCACGGAUGUUAGAGAAGAGACUAUGCCCAAGCAAUGCUUCCUCUGCAAAUAGGGCAGGGUGCUAGCCCCAAGGAAAGCAGUCGCCAGGCUCCAAGGUCCCCUGUCCCCCCCAUCUGUUGAUAGGGUUGAAAGCAUCUCCAGACUCAGGGGAGGCU